AGUUCGAUUCUGGCUCAGAUUGAACGCUGGCGGGAUGCUUUACACAUGCAAGUCCGGGCAACGGCACGGACUUCGGUCUGGUGGCGAGUGGCAGACGGGUGAGUAAUGUAUCGGAACGUGCCCUAGUAGCGGGGAUAACGCAUGGCCCGUAGCUAAUACCGCAUACGCCCUUCAGGGGAAAGGGACCUUCGGGCCUCGCCUUGCGCAUAGAGCGGCCGAUAUCGGAUUGGCUGGAUUGGUGGGGUAACGGCUCACCAAGGCGACGAUCCGUAGCUGGUUUGAGAGGACGACCAGCCACACUGGGACUGAGACACGGCCCAGACUCCUACGGGAGGCAGUGGGGAAUUUUGGACAAUGGGGGAAACCUGAUCCAGCCAUCCCGCGUGUGCGAUGAAGGCCUUCGGGUUGUAAAGCACUUUUGGCGAGAAACGGCCUGGGAUAUACCCGUGCAACUGACGAAACCUGCAGAAUAAGCACCGGCUAACUACACGUGCCAGCAGCCGCGGUAAUACGUAGGGUGCAAGCGUUAAUCGGAAUUACUGGGCGUAAAGCGUGCAGGCGGUUCGGAAAGAAAGAUGUGAAAUCCCAGAGCUUAACUUUAGAUUACAUUUUUAACUACCAAAGGCUAGAGUGUGUCAGAGGAGAUUGGAAUUCAUGAUGUAGUGAAAUGCGUAGAUAUGCGGAGGAACACCGAUGGCGAAGGCAGCCUCUGGGAUAACACUGACACUCAUGUACAGCGUGGGAGCAAACAGGAUUACCCUGGUAGUCCACGCCCUAAACGAUGUCAACUAGCUGUUGGGGCCUUCAGGCCUUGGUAGCGCAACUAACGCGCGUGAAGUUGACCGCCUGGGAAGUACGGUCGCAGAUUAAAACUCAAAGGAAUUGACGGGGACCCGCACAAGCGGUGGAUGUGGAUUAAUUCGAUGCAGCGAAAAACCUUACCUACCCUUGACAUGUCUGGAAUCCCGAAGAGAUUUGGGAGUGCUCGCAAAGGCCGGAACACAGGUGCUGCAUGGCUGUCGUCAGCUCGUGUCGUGAGAUGUUGGGUUAAGUCCGCAACGAGCGCAACCCUUGUCAUUAGUUGCUACGAAAGGGCCUCUAAUGAGACUGCCGGUGACAAACCGGAGGAAGGUGGGGAUGACGUCAAGUCCUCAUGGCCCUUAUAGGUGGGGCUACACACGUCAUACAAUGGCUGGUACAGAGGGUUGCCAUAACCCGCGAGGAAUAAUCCGCAUAAAGCCAGUCGUAGUCCGGAUCGCAGUCUGCAGCUCGACGCGUGAAGUCAGGUCGCUAGUAAUCGCGGAUCAGAAUGUCGCGGUGAAUACGUUCCCAGGUCUUGUACACACCGCCCGUCACACCAUGGGGCGGGUUCUGCCGAAGUAGUUAGCCUAACCGCAAGGAGGGCGAUUACCGGCAGGGUUCGUGACUGGGUGAAAUCGUAACAAAGGUAACUCGAGGAGGU
rnacentral:rRNA from 1 species